rnacentral:rRNA from 1 species
CGGUGGAGUAUGUGGUUUAAUUCGAUGCAACGCGAAGAACCUUACCUGGUCUUGACAUCCCGGAGACCCUUAGGAAACUAGGGGUGCUUCCAUCUGGAAGAAUCUGGAGACAGGUGCUGCAUGGCUGUCGUCAGCUCGUGUCGUGAGAUGUUGGGUUAAGUCCCGCAACGAGCGCAACCCUUGCCUUUAGUUGCCAGCAGUUCGGCUGGGCACUCUAAAGGGACUGCCGGUGUUAAACCGGAGGAAGGUGGGGAUGACGUCAAGUCCUCAUGGCCUUUAUGACCAGGGCUACACACGUACUACAAUGGCCGAUACAAAGGGCAGCGACACUGCGAGGUGAGGCCAAUCCCGUAAAAUCGGUCUCAGUCCGGAUUGGAGUCUGCAACUCGACUCCAUGAAGUUGGAAUCGCUAGUAAUCGUGGAUCAGCAUGCCACGGUGAAUACGUUCCCGGGCCUU